UCACACAAGAGACCCAAAUUAACAGUACAUCGGCGUAAAGAGUGGUACUAUGGUAUCAUAACAACUAGGAUUGAAAUGCAGCUAAGCUGUCAUAAGCCCAAGACGCACUUAAAGUCACCUUCAAGAUGAUCCUAGCACCUCUGAUUAAUUUAACCCCACGAAAGCUAGGGCACAAACUGGGAUUAGAUACCCCAUUAUGCCUAGCCCUAAAUCUUGAUGCUUACCACACCAAAGCAUCCGCCGGAGAACUACGAGCACAAACGCUUAAAACUCUAAGGACUUGGCGGUGCCCCAAACCCACCUAGAGGAGCCUGUUCUAUAAUCGAUAAUCCACGAUUCACCCAACCACCCCUCGCCAAAGCAGCCUACAUACCGCCGUCGCCAGCCCACCUCUCCUGAGAGUCCUACAGUGGGCACAAUAGCCCAGCCCGCUAGUAAGACAGGUCAAGGUAUAGCCUAUGGAGUGGAAGAAAUGGGCUACAUUUUCUAUGAUAGAAAA
rnacentral:rRNA from 1 species